GCUGAAACACCGGUUCUCGUACGAUCACUGAAGUUAAGCAACGUCGAGCCUGGUCAGUACCUAGACGGAUGACCGCUUUGAGAAUACCAGGUGCUGUAAG